rnacentral:rRNA from 1 species
AACGAACGCUGGCGGCAUGCCUAACACAUGCAAGUCGAACGAACCCUUCGGGGUUAGUGGCGCACGGGUGCGUAACGCGUGGGGAUCUGCCCUUUGCUUCGGAAUAACAGUUAGAAAUGACUGCUAAUACUGGAUGAUGUCGCAAGACCAAAGAUUUAUCGGCAAAGGAUGAACCCGCGUAGGAUUAGCUAGUUGGUGAGGUAAAGGCUCACCAAGGCGACGAUCCUUAGCUGGUCUGAGAGGAUGAUCAGCCACACUGGGACUGAGACACGGCCCAGACUCCUACGGGAGGCAGCAGUGGGGAAUAUUGGACAAUGGGCGAAAGCCUGAUCCAGCAAUGCCGCGUGAGUGAUGAAGGCCCUAGGGUUGUAAAGCUCUUUUACCAGGGAUGAUAAUGACAGUACCUGGAGAAUAAGCUCCGGCUAACUUCAUGCCAGCAGCCGCAGUAA